AUUGAACGCUGGCGGAAUGCUUUACACAUGCAAGUCGAACGGCAGCACGGGAGCUUGCUCCUGGUGGCGAGUGGCGAACGGGUGAGUAAUGCGUCGGAACGUACCGAGUAAUGGGGGAGUAACGCAGCGAAAGCUGUGCUAAUACCGCAUACGCCCUGAGGGGGAAAGUGGGGGAGUCGCAAGACCUCACGUUAUUCGAGCGGCCGACGUCUGAUUAGCUAGUUGGUGGGGUAAAGGCCGUACCAAGGCGACGAUCAGUAGCGGGUCUGAGAGGAUGAUCCGCCACACUGGAACUGAGACACGGUCCAGACUCCUACGGGAGGCAGCAGUGGGGAAUUUUGGACAAUGGGGGCAACCCUGAUCCAGCCAUUCCGCGUGAGUGAAGAAGGCCUCGGUUGUAAG
rnacentral:rRNA from 1 species